UUUUGAUUUUGCAAACCAAAGCUCCUAAUGACGGUGGCCUUGCUUGAAAACGUUCUUGUUAUUUUUCAUGACCUCCGUGUUCUACCCUCCCAAAUCUGGUUAAACUAGUUCGCACCUGAAGUCUUGGUACAGUGAAGUAAUGAUUUAAAUGUUAAGGAUAUUUCCCGGGGGAACAAGCCAUAAAACCCUGCAGUAAUGUGCCCCAUCCAGCUCAUGGAUUCAGGUGCCAAAGGCAUACAGGAAGAAUCACUUUAGAUCAUCUUGAGGGGAGCUGUUGAAUGUGGGUACGAAUAUGUUCAAGUUACGCCCAAAGUCAAGUUCAAUGGCAGUGGUGGUUGUGGUGGUGAUGGUAAAUGAAAGAAUGCAAGCCACGCAUUUCCUCACUUACAUGGCCAUAAAGAUGAUUAAAGAUGGUCGUAAUUGAUUCGAGGUAGUUCAGUUUUUCCAUUCAUGUGCAUCUAUUCAAUUCUGUGGAUCCUAGAAAACUUGCUCAAAAGGCCGAAGGUCGAAUAAUUUUGAAGUGAUGUCGUCAUUUCCAUGAAUGGGAAUGAAGAUGAGGAGGACUGAAACCCCUGCCCUGAUUGUGUGCCAAAACCACGUCAUUUCAGGCUGCUGCAUGAUUUAAAGAAAAAAAUAUUUUCGCAUUGACACCGUCCAAGAUGUUUUACAACGAUGUUUCACAAUCUUCUCGAGCAAGAUAAUCCAAUCCAAACCGUUUCAUUUAAACCAAAACUUAACAACCAUUACCACAUGCUCAACAUCAGUCAAGCAGCCGUUUCGUUAGGAGGUCAAGAGAGGUCAGGCGAGGUCACCAUUUGCCAGCCAAACUGGAGCAAUUUGGCAUUGAUUGCAGCCAAGAAUGAAGCAUUACGUACAAUCUGUAGCAUGUCUUGGAUGGACACCCCGAUGGAUCGACCCUUCAUGGUUUAUAGAAUCUGCACUUGAGGUAAUCGCUCUGUUAGAAAACGAUUCCAUGCCCUUUGGAUGCCAAAAUUGCACAUUAAAAGUUCAACUAGAGCUUGUGCGCCACAAUACAUAGACAAUUUGGUGAUGGCUCGUGAGUCUUAAAAUAAAUGAGACAAUUUUGCUCCAUUUCAACAGAUCAGUCGAUUUUUGGCGGGAUAACUGAUCGCAGUUUUCAAAUACUGUAGUAAAUGUUGGUGACAAGUUCUUAUGGAAUUUUGCCAAUGAAAACCCUGUUUAACUCUAACAAAGUUAGUAUGCCACUUGAAAGAAAGACGGAAUCAUCGGUACUUAAACAAGACGGAUAAUAAUUGGCCAGGAUUUUUAGCCAUGCCGUCCAAUGAACCAGAUGUCAUUACAUGGAUAACACCUUCUCCUACAAGUUUACUACUUUCAAUGAUUAACCAAGCUCCAUAUGGUACUACUUCAGAGCUCAGACUUUCUUCUUAAUUGCCACCUUCAUAAGCGAACCAAGAAAUCCCCACCCAACUUCAAGAAGCAUGAAAAAAAUAAUUCCCUUACGUUCAAC